CAGAAAUCUCUUUUCCUCUGUGCUGAACCCCUCACAGUGGGCCACAACUUCAGAAGGCUAAAGGAUAAUGCCUCAGACAUUCAUUGACUACGGUCAAACUUCUUUAAUUUCACUUCUGUUUUUGGAAAAGCAUUUGCAGGGCGCUUCACCCACAGUGACGCUCAGAGAUUUUGGCCAGAAUUGCUGUUGACUGAACCCAUGGUUUGUAAUGGAUAAACAAGAAAUGAGGCAAGGCAACACCCACCAAAUUCCCAUGCAAGUAAACAACUGGACAUCCAACAAUUUGCAUGCAAGCACAUGACUGAAAAAGCUGUGACCAUACACUCAGUAUUGAGUAAGUGAACUAUUCAGUGGCAGCUGUAAAUAAGCUGUUGUGGAGUGCUAGAGAUGACCAUGUGCAGAGGAAACACAACAAAAGAAACACAAAGCUCACCAUCAUCUUCUCGAAGAGGUCAUUGAUCUCCUUCUCCGAGAGGUUCAUAGAGCGGUCGUCGAA